rnacentral:rRNA from 1 species
GACGAACGCUGGCGGCGUGCCUAAUACAUGCAAGUCGAGCGGAAGUUGAAGAGCUUGCUCUUCAACUUUAGCGGCGGACGGGUGAGUAACACGUGGGCAACCUGCCCUGCAGAUCGGGAUAACUCCGGGAAACCGGUGCUAAUACCGAAUAGUUUUCGCCACCUCCUGGUGGCGUACGGAAAGACGGUUUCGGCUGUCACUGCAGGAUGGGCCCGCGGCGCAUUAGCUAGUUGGUGGGGUAACGGCCCUCCAAGGCGACGAGGCGUAGCCGACCUGAGAGGGUGGUCGGCCACACUGGGACUGAGACCCGGCCCCGACGCCUACGGGAGGCAGCAGUAGGGAAUCUUCCGCAAUGGACGAAAGUCUGACGGAGCAACGCCGCGUGAGUGACGAAGGUUUUCGGAUCGUAAAACUCUGUUGUGAGGGAAGAACAAGUACCAACUAACUACUGGUACCUUGACGGUACCUCACCAGAAAGCCACGGCUAACUACGUGCCAGCCGCCGCAGUAAUAC